UAGUGAGUUAUCGAACUUGAGGGCAU
rnacentral:piRNA from 1 species